UACGGAGGGUGCAAGCGUUAUCCGGAUUCACUGGGUUUAAAGGGUGCGUAGGCGGUUUGUCGCGUCGGCUGUGAAAACUCGGGGCUCAACCCCGAGCCUGCAGUCGAUACGGGCAGACUAGAGUGCGGUAGGGGAGACUGGAAUUCCUGGUGUAGCGGUGAAAUGCGCAGAUAUCAGGAGGAACACCGGUGGCGAAGGCGGGUCUCUGGGCCGUAACUGACGCUGAGGAGCGAAAGCGUGGGGAGCAAACAGG
rnacentral:rRNA from 1 species